rnacentral:piRNA from 2 species
GGUCCGAGAGUAGUGGUGUUUACA